AACGAACGCUGGCGGCAGGCCUAACACAUGCAAGUCGAGCGCCCUUUCGGGGGAGCGGCGGACGGGUGAGUAACGCGUGGGAAUAUGCCCUUCUCUACGGAAUAGCCUCGGGAAACUGAGAGUAAUACCGGAUACGCCCUGUGGGGGAAAGAUUUAUCGGGGAAGGAUUAGCCCGCGUUGGAUUAGGUAGUUGGUGGGGUAAUGGCCUACCAAGCCGACGAUCCAUAGCUGGUUAGAGAGGAUGAUCAGCCACACUGGGACUGAGACACGGCCCAGACUCCUACGGGAGGCAGCAGUGGGGAAUCUUAGACAAUGGGGGCAAAACUGACCUAGCCAUGCCGCGUGAGUGAUGAAGGCCUUAGGGUUGUAAAGCUCUUUCAGCUGGGAAGAUAAUGACGGUACCAGCAGAAGAAGCCCCGGCUAACUCCGUG
rnacentral:rRNA from 1 species